UGGGGAAUAUUGCACAAUGGGGGAAACCCUGAUGCAGCGACGCCGCGUGAGCGUAGAAGGCCUUCGGGUCGUAAAGCUCUUUUAUGAGGGAAGAUAAUGACGGUACCUCAAGAAAAAGCCCCGGCUAACUACGUGCCAGCAGCCGCGGUAAUACGUAGGGGGCUAGCGUUGUCCGGAAUCACUGGGCGUAAAGGGUUCGCAGGCAGAAUAACAAGUCAGAUGUGAAAGGCAUGGGCUCAACCCAUGUAAGCAUUUGAAACUGUAAUUCUUGAGAAGUGGAGAGGUAAGUGGAAUUCCUAGUGUAGCGGUGAAAUGCGUAGAUAUUAGGAGGAAUACCUGUGGCGAAGGCGACUUACUGGACACAAAUCUGACGCUGAGGAACGAAAGCGUGGGUAGCAAACAGG
rnacentral:rRNA from 1 species